GACGAACGCUGGCGGCGUGCUUAACACAUGCAAGUCGAACGGAAAGGACCUGCUUUUGUGGGGUGCUCGAGUGGCGAACGGGUGAGUAACACGUGAGUAACCUGCCCUUGACUUUGGGAUAACUUCAGGAAACUGGGGCUAAUACCGGAUAGGAGCUCCUGCUGCAUGGUGGGGGUUGGAAAGUUUCGGCGGUUGGGGAUGGACUCGCGGCUUAUCAGCUUGUUGGUGGGGUAGUGGCUUACCAAGGCUUUGACGGGUAGCCGGCCUGAGAGGGUGACCGGCCACAUUGGGACUGAGAUACGGCCCAGACUCCUACGGGAGGCAGCAGUGGGGAAUAUUGCACAAUGGGCGGAAGCCUGAUGCAGCAACGCCGUGUGCGGGAUGACGGCCUUCGGGUUGUAAACCGCUUUCGCCUGUGACGAAGCGUGAGUGACGGUAAUGGGUAAAGAAGCACCGGCUAACUACGUG
rnacentral:rRNA from 1 species